CUACGGGUUGCUGCAGUGGGGAAUAUUGCACAAUGGGCGCAAGCCUGAUGCAGCCAUGCCGCGUGUAUGAAGAAGGCCUUCGGGUUGUAAAGUACUUUCAGCGGGGAGGAAGGGAGUAAAGUUAAUACCUUUGCUCAUUGACGUUACCCGCAGAAGAAGCACCGGCUAACUCCGUGCCAGCAGCCGCGGUAAUACGGAGGGUGCAAGCGUUAAUCGGAAUUACUGGGCGUAAAGCGCACGCAGGCGGUUUGUUAAGUCAGAUGUGAAAUCCCCGGGCUCAACCUGGGAACUGCAUCUGAUAAUGGCAAGCUUGAGUCUCGUAGAGGGGGGUAGAAUUCCAGGUGUAGCGGUGAAAUGCGUAGAGAUCUGGAGGAAUACCGGUGGCGAAGGCGGCCCCCUGGACGAAGACUGACGCUCAGGUGCGAAAGCGUGGGGAGCAAACAGGAUUAGAUACCCUAGUAGUC
rnacentral:rRNA from 1 species